AACGCAUAUUGCGCUCUUUGGUAUUCCGAAGAGCAUGCUUGUUUGAGUAUCAGUAAACACCUCAAAGCUUUUGAUUUUUUUUGAAAGCUUUGGACUUGAGCAAUCCCAACACCAGUCUUUUUUAGAUCGGAGGCGGGUUGCUUGAAAUGCAGGUGCAGCUGGACAUUCUCCUGAGCUAAAAGCAUAUUCAUUUAGUCCCGUCAAACGGAUUAUUACUUUUGCUGCAGCUAACAUAAAGGGAGUUUGACCGUAUUGGCUGACUGAUGCAGGAUUUCACAGGGGUCGGCAACGACGCUUGUUAAACUCGAUCUCAAAUCAAGUAAGACUACCCGCUGAACUUAA
rnacentral:misc_RNA from 1 species